GAUGAACGCUGGCGGCGUGCCUAAUACAUGCAAGUCGAGCGAACGGACGAGAAGCUUGCUUCUCUGAUGUUAGCGGCGGACGGGUGAGUAACACGUGGAUAACCUACCUAUAAGACUGGGAUAACUUCGGGAAACCGGAGCUAAUACCGGAUAAUAUUUUGAACCGCAUGGUUCAAAAGUGAAAGACGGUCUUGCUGUCACUUAUAGAUGGAUCCGCGCUGCAUUAGCUAGUUGGUAAGGUAACGGCUUACCAAGGCAACGAUGCAUAGCCGACCUGAGAGGGUGAUCGGCCACACUGGAACUGAGACACGGUCCAGACUCCUACGGGAGGCAGCAGUAGGGAAUCUUCCGCAAUGGGCGAAAGCCUGACGGAGCAACGCCGCGUGAGUGAUGAAGGUCUUCGGAUCGUAAAACUCUGUUAUUAGGGAAGAACAUAUGUGUAAGUAACUGUGCACAUCUUGACGGUACCUAAUCAGAAAGCCACGGCUAACUACGUGCCAGCAGCCGCGGUAAUACGUAGGUGGCAAGCGUUAUCCGGAAUUAUUGGGCGUAAAGCGCGCGUAGGCGGUUUUUUAAGUCUGAUGUGAAAGCCCACGGCUCAACCGUGGAGGGUCAUUGGAAACUGGAAAACUUGAGUGCAGAAGAGGAAAGUGGAAUUCCAUGUGUAGCGGUGAAAUGCGCAGAGAUAUGGAGGAACACCAGUGGCGAAGGCGACUUUCUGGUCUGUAACUGACGCUGAUGUGCGAAAGCGUGGGGAUCAAACAGGAUUAGAUACCCUGGUAGUCCACGCCGUAAACGAUGAGUGCUAAGUGUUAGGGGGUUUCCGCCCCUUAGUGCUGCAGCUAACGCAUUAAGCACUCCGCCUGGGGAGUACGACCGCAAGGUUGAAACUCAAAGGAAUUGACGGGGACCCGCACAAGCGGUGGAGCAUGUGGUUUAAUUCGAAGCAACGCGAAGAACCUUACCAAAUCUUGACAUCCUUUGACAACUCUAGAGAUAGAGCUUUCCCCUUCGGGGGACAAAGUGACAGGUGGUGCAUGGUUGUCGUCAGCUCGUGUCGUGAGAUGUUGGGUUAAGUCCCGCAACGAGCGCAACCCUUAAGCUUAGUUGCCAUCAUUAAGUUGGGCACUCUAAGUUGACUGCCGGUGACAAACCGGAGGAAGGUGGGGAUGACGUCAAAUCAUCAUGCCCCUUACGAUUUGGGCUACACACGUGCUACAAUGGACAAUACAAAGGGCAGCGAAACCGCGAGGUCAAGCAAAUCCCAUAAAGUUGUUCUCAGUUCGGAUUGUAGUCUGCAACUCGACUACAUGAAGCUGGAAUCGCUAGUAAUCGUAGAUCAGCAUGCUACGGUGAAUACGUUCCCGGGUCU
rnacentral:rRNA from 1 species